rnacentral:rRNA from 1 species
CUGCUGCCUUCCGUAGGAGUUUGGACCGUGUCUCAGUACCAGUGUGGGGGGCCUUCCUCUCAGAACCCCUACGCAUCGUCGCCUCGGUGGGCCGUUACCCCGCCGACUAGCUAAUGCGCCGCAUGCCCAUCCGUGGCCGGGAUUGCUCCCUUUGGCGGCCUUGGGAUGCCCCAAGGCCGCGUUACGCGGUAUUAGACGGGGUUUCCCCCGCUUAUCCCCCUGCCACGGGCAGGUUGCAUACGUGUUACUCACCCGUGCGCCGGUCGCCGGCAACGG